GGGGAUAUAGCUCAGUGGCAGAGCGCUCGCUUUGCAUGUGAGAGGCCCCGGGUUCAAUCCCCGGUAUCUCCA
rnacentral:tRNA from 1 species